AAUUGGGUGGCCGAGUGCGAUUAGGUGGUAGAUUGUAAAUCUUUAGACGAGUGUUUAACUCCCCAAUAA
rnacentral:tRNA from 1 species